GACGAACGCUGGCGGCGUGCCUAAUACAUGCAAGUUGAGCGCUGAAGGUUGGUACUUGUACCGACUGGAUGAGCAGCGAACGGGUGAGUAACGCGUGGGGAAUCUGCCUUUGAGCGGGGGACAACAUUUGGAAACGAAUGCUAAUACCGCAUAAAAACUUUAAACACAAGUUUUAAGUUUGAAAGAUGCAAUUGCAUCACUCAAAGAUGAUCCCGCGUUGUAUUAGCUAGUUGGUGAGGUAAAGGCUCACCAAGGCGAUGAUACAUAGCCGACCUGAGAGGGUGAUCGGCCACAUUGGGACUGAGACACGGCCCAAACUCCUACGGGAGGCAGCAGUAGGGAAUCUUCGGCAAUGGAAGAAAGUCUGACCGAGCAACGCCGCGUGAGUGAAGAAGGGUGUCGGAUCGUAAAACUCUGUUGGUAGAGAAGAACGUUGGUGAGAGUGGAAAGCUCAUCAAGUGACGGUAACUACACAGAAAGGGACGGCUAACUACGUG
rnacentral:rRNA from 1 species